ACAAGGUCAUGCAAGAGAUUCCUAGACCACUGAAUGGUAAUAUUGAAGUGGUUCCAUUGUCGCCCAAGCCAGAUGAUGGUGACAGUGUAGACAAGAUUUAUGAAGCUCAUAGUUACGUUGACAAUGCAACCAACACAUUCUCUGGCCUUAAACAGAUUGGAAACGAAUCGGAAAAAGUUGAAGAGGCAGAUAACUCGGAGGAAGAGG
rnacentral:lncRNA from 1 species